GCAGCACUUGGGGAAGGGUAGCCAUUGUCCUUUUGCCUUCUGCCUGGGGCCAGGGCAGGGUCUGAGCAGAGGCCUCCUUGGUCACCCUGCUCAUCAGGCAGCUACAGAAAUGGCCACCAGGUGUCACCCUUGGCUCAUACUUGAAGUGAACGCAGCGCAGAAAAAGAAACAGGAGCUGGGUGGAAAAAAGGAAGGUGUUCUGCAAAGGUUCAUCGGUCUGCCUUCAGAAUUCUCCUUCCCAUGCUCACGGCAAAUCACAGUUCAACAGGUUCUUUAUGGGGCACCUGCUGCACAAAGGAGGCUCUGAGCUGACCAUUUCUCAGGACAGAUACUAAGAUGAACAAGACAAGCCAUCCCCCAUGUGCAACCACCCCACCAUAAGCCUAGACCAGUGGUCUCCAAAGUUUUUUUGAUCGUGCUCUGUAGCAAUAAAA
rnacentral:lncRNA from 1 species